rnacentral:rRNA from 1 species
AGUGAACGCUGGCGGUAGGCCUAACACAUGCAAGUCGAACGGCAGCACAGUAAGAGCUUGCUCUUACGGGUGGCGAGUGGCGGACGGGUGAGGAAUACAUCGGAAUCUACUUUUUCGGGGGGGAUAACGUAGGGAAACUUACGCUAAUACCGCAUACGACCUACGGGUGAAAGCAGGGGAUCUUCGGACCUUGCGCGAUUGAAUGAGCCGAUGUCGGAUUAGCUAGUUGGCGGGGUAAAGGCCCACCAAGGCGACGAUCCGUAGCUGGUCUGAGAGGAUGAUCAGCCACACUGGAACUGAGACACGGUCCAGACUCCUACGGGAGGCAGCAGUGGGGAAUAUUGGACAAUGGGCGCAAGCCUGAUCCAGCCAUACCGCGUGGGUGAAGAAGGCCUUCGGGUUGUAAAGCCCUUUUGUUGGGAAAGAAAAGCAGCAGGUUAAUACCCCGAUGUUCUGACGGUACCCAAAGAAUAAGCACCGGCUAACUUCGUG